rnacentral:rRNA from 1 species
GACGAACGCUGGUGGCGUGCUUAACACAUGCAAGUCGAACGGAAAGGCCCUGCUUUUGUGGGGUGCUCGAGUGGCGAACGGGUGAGUAACACGUGAGUAACCUGCCCUUGACUUUGGGAUAACUUCAGGAAACUGGGGCUAAUACCGGAUAGGAGCUCCUGCUGCAUGGUGGGGGUUGGAAAGUUUCGGCGGUUGGGGAUGGACUCGCGGCUUAUCAGCUUGUUGGUGGGGUAGUGGCUUACCAAGGCUUUGACGGGUAGCCGGCCUGAGAGGGUGACCGGGCAAAUUGGGACUGAGAUACGGCCCAGACUCCUACGGGAGGCAGCAGUGGGGAAGAAUGCACAAUGGGCGGAAGCCUGAUGCAGCAAAGCCGCGUGCGGGAUGACGGGCUUCGGGGUGGAAAACGCUUUCGCCUGUGACGAAGCGUGAGGGAAGGUAAUGGGUAAAGAAGCACCGGCUAAAUACGUGC